rnacentral:rRNA from 1 species
AUACGGAGGAUCCGAGCGUUAUCCGGAUUUAUUGGGUUUAAAGGGUGCGCAGGCGGCCAUUUAAGUCAGCGGUUAAAUCGUGGGGCUCAACCCCAUUCUGCCGUUGAUACUGGGUGGCUUGAUUGCGGUCGAGGUUGGCGGAAUUCGUUGUGUAGCGGUGAAAUGCAUAGAUAUGACGAAGAACACCGAUUGCGUAGGCAGCUGACCAGACCGCAAAUGACGCUCAUGCACGAAAGUGCGGAGAUCGAACAGGAUUAGAUACCCUUGUAGUCCGCACAGUAAACGAUGAAUACUUGUUUUCGGCGAUAGAAUGGCGGAGGCAAAGCGAAAGCGAUAAGUAUUCCACCUGGGGAGUACGCCGUCAACGGUGAAACUCAAAGGAAUUGACGGGG